rnacentral:rRNA from 1 species
UACAGAGGGUGCAAGCGUUGUCCGGAAUUAUUGGGCGUAAAGAGCUCGUAGGCGGCUUGUUGCGUCGACUGUGAAAACCUGCGGCUCAACCGUGUGGUCUGCAGUCGAUACGGGCAGGCUAGAGUUCGGCAGGGGAGACUGGAAUUCCUGGUGUAGCGGUGAAAUGCGCAGAUAUCAGGAGGAACACCGGUGGCGAAGGCGGGUCUCUGGGCCGAUGACUGACGCUGAGGAGCGAAAGCGUGGGGAGCGAACAGG